rnacentral:rRNA from 1 species
UGCAAGUCGAACGGAAAGGCCUCUUCGGAGGUACUCGAGUGGCGAACGGGUGAGUAACACGUGGGCAAUCUGCCCUGCACUUCGGGAUAAGCCCGGGAAACUGGGUCUAAUACCGGAUAGGACCUUUAGACGCAUGUCUUUUGGUGGAAAGCUUUUGCGGUGUGGGAUGGGCCCGCGGCCUAUCAGCUUGUUGGUGGGGUGAUGGCCUACCAAGGCGACGACGGGUAGCCGGCCUGAGAGGGUGUCCGGCCACACUGGGACUGAGAUACGGCCCAGACUCCUACGGGAGGCAGCAGUGGGGAAUAUUGCACAAUGGGCGCAAGCCUGAUGCAGCGACGCCGCGUGGGGGAUGACGGCCUUCGGGUUGUAAACCUCUUUCACCAUCGACGAAGGUCCGGGUUUUCUCGGAUUGACGGUAGGUGGAGAAGAAGCACCGGCCAACUACG